GGAUGUCUGGAUUAAGCACGUUUCGGCUGACGGCCUUGGGUGAUUUCAGCUCCACCGCUGA
rnacentral:snoRNA from 1 species